CAGUCGCCACGGUAAUACGGAGGGUGCGAGCGUUAAUCGGAAUUACUGGGCGUAAAGCGUACGCAGGCGGUUUGUUAAGUCAGAUGUGAAAUCCCCGAGCUUAACUCGGGAACUGCAUUUGAAACUGGCAGGCUAGAGUCUCGUAGAGGGGGGUAGAAUUCCAGGUGUAGCGGUGAAAUGCGUAGAUAUCUGGAGGAAUACCGGUGGCGAAGGCGGCCCCCUGGACGAAGACUGACGCUCAGGUACGAAAGCGUGGGGAGCAAACAGGAUUAGAUACCCGAGUAGUCCCUGUCUUUAUACA
rnacentral:rRNA from 1 species